rnacentral:rRNA from 1 species
UGAGUAAUGUCUGGGAAACUGCCUGAUGGAGGGGGAUAACUACUGGAAACGGUAGCUAAUACCGCAUAACGUCGCAAGACCAAAGAGGGGGACCUUCGGGCUCUUGCCAUCAGAUGUGCCCAGAUGGGAUUAGCUAGUAGGUGGGGUAACGGCUCACCUAGGCGACGAUCCCUAGCUGGUCUGAGAGGAUGACCAGCCACACUGGAACUGAGACACGGUCCAGACUCCUACGGGAGGCAGCAUG